rnacentral:rRNA from 1 species
ACGCACGCUGGCGGCGUGCUUAACCCAUGCCAGUCGAACGGAAAGGCCCUGCUUGCAGGGUACUCGAGUGGCGAACGGGUGAGUAACACGUGGGUGAUCUGCCCUGCACUUCGGGAUAAGCCUGGGAAACUGGGUCUAAUACCGGCUAGGAGCCAUUUUUAGUGUGAUGGUUGGAAAGUUUUUUCGGUGUAGGAUGAGCUCGCGGCCUAUCAGCUUGUUGGUGGGGUAAUGGCCUACCAAGGCGGCGACGGGUAGCCGGCCUGAGAGGGUGGACGGCCACAUUGGGACUGAGAUACGGCCCAGACUCCUACGGGAGGCAGCAGUGGGGAAUAUUGCACAAUGGGCGCAAGCCUGAUGCAGCGACGCCGCGUGGGGGAUGACGGCCUUCGGGUUGUAAACUCCUUUCGCUAGGGACGAAGCUUUUUGUGACGGUACCUAGAUAAGAAGCACCGGCUAACUACGUG